AAGUUCCCACUGCAUCAAUCAGAAUGUGACACUUCUCUGAACGUUGGUGAUGAAUGACAAUGAACAUGCUGAACUAGCAUAAGACAGAAGUGGGAAAAUGGAUCAACAGAAGGGGAGAAGUUCCUGGCAGAUUGACAACCCCACGGCCAAUUCACAGAGGAAAGUUCCUGAACAUUCUACAAGGCACGGUCAAAUUGAACACAAUCUGAAACUGUAAAUUCAUAUACAGAUUUAAAGGACUGUGAUAGAAGCACGCAGAAGACAGUGCACCCUUCUGAUGUGGUUCCUCUUUCUAUGUGGAGUGUGACUGAGCUGGUGGGAAAAGUGCGGAUUAUAGCAUGUUACAGGCGAAGCGUGCAUGUGGCACAGCAAAGGAAGGACUAACAGCACAGCUGGACAGAACAGAGACGCUGUCUUACAGAACACUUGUUUUACUCAUGUGUUUAUGCUACAACUGAUUACCUGCAGCCUAUUCAAAAAUCAACAAACGCAAUGAUAUUCCAGAAACCUUACAAAGACAAAAAUAAAAACAAAAUACGGGGCGGUGGGGAGGGAAUAGAUGAGAUGGAAAUAAAGAAAAAAACCUACAGCUCAAAAACUCAGGAAUGGCAACCCUGAUGAAAGAGAGGAAGUACAGGGUGUGGACCUACAGCCAGGAAAGCAGAGUCAAGCCUAGGGAAGCCGUGGGAUGCCCGCAGACCUGCCUUCUUCAUCUGAACAAGGACAGGCUGCAGCCUAGGGAAGCCGUGGGAUGCCCGCAGACCUGCCUUCUUCAUCUGAACAAGGACAGGCUGCACUGGAAACUUUCCAGUUCCUCUACUCCAGCAUCUUCAGUCAGCAAAACCUACCGCAGACAGCACAGAGGAGAAACAAAGGCACUCACGGGAAAUACUGGAGGUUUUAGGGGAGAAAAUAAUGAGCCUGGGAACAAGUCAAUUAUCCAAAGCUAUCUUUGCUUUGACUGAACUCUAAAGAAUCAUAAAAUACCUUUUCCUAGUCUAUCUUGGUAUGCUGAGUGUCAGGCAUGCCUACAGUUACACACUGAGAGCAGAGGAAGGACGUUCCUUCCUGAAGAGGAAAUGGUGGCCAAAGACAGGCCACUCAAAAGCAGCUUGUAGCACACAAGACGGCACGGUAGGCACAGUGCUAGCCCGGGGUACUCCUGGCCAGUGGCUGCUCAAAAUCUCCUGACUGGCACCUUUGUUGAUGCACAUAGGGAGGCGACAAAAUGUGGCAGACAGAGCAAGCAGAAACAGACACUGAGAAGGACAAGAGAGGUUAAGGCCAAGGAUGAGAGUGGGAAGCUGUUUAACAGUGGCAGAAAUAGAAACAACCAAAUCAGGGGGAAGCCCAGAAGCUGAGCAGACUAAUGAAAGUCACCGGUGAGCGAUCACAGGCCUCCCUCCUGCAAAGCAGCCUAUUAACUCUUACAGGGGCCCCAAACUCCAGCUAAACUGCUGAACUUCGAGCACUUGCUGGACCACCUGGCCACCUCAUGUCAGCCUCCCUCAGUCAGGGUAAUUGCAACCUGAGUUUCCUCCUUGAAUUGUAAACAGCUUAAUGUGAACCUUAAAUUUAAAUAUCAUUACUCACCUCCUUCAGGAUCCUUUCAUUAAAAAACUGUUGGAGUUUCUCAUUGCAAUAGUUGAUACAAAAUUGCUCGAAGCUGUUGUGCUCAAAGUACUCUGCAAACAGAAACCCAGAGGAGAGCUGUCACCAUCGACAAGGCAUGAACUUAUAAAGAAGUUAUGUCAACUGAAUCACGAGAAGAAAAGGUUUCUGAUACUUCACCUUGAUGGUCAACUUGAUUCAAUUGAGAAGUAAAUACCAAGAACAUUGUUAAAGCACACCUCUGGUGUUGUGAGGGUCUUUCUAGAGAUUGCUACCAAAUAGAAAGUCCUACCCUGAAUGUGAGAAGUACCAUCUCAGGGGCUGGGGGUCCAGGGGCAACAAGAGGGGGAUCAAAAAGCUACCAUAUAUAGUCAUAUCCUCUCCCUGCCCCCCGCCCCCUCCCCUCUUGCCCUUCAGGAUGUGAGCAGCUCUGCUCCACCAUGAUAAGGCUGAACACUCUGAAACCUCAAGGCAGGGUAAACACUGCCUUCUUUUGCUUCUCUCUAGUAUUCGGUCAUAGCAAGGAGAAAGGUUACCACAACAGCUUUAGACAAAACAUUGUUGUAUUUGUUUGUUUGUUUUUUAAAUCAAAUACAAAUUAACAAAAGAAACCAUGCUUACCGAAACCAGCAAUAUCCAGGACUCCAAUAAAAUAAGAAGAUGUUUCAAAAGGAAAGCACUGAUUUACCCUGUUCACCACGUGAUCAAAGAGAUGGCUAUAGACAGUCUUUGCCAGAGCAUCGCGAGCAUUGUUUGCCUGCUCCACUUUCAGGGGGACCCUAGGAACACAAGAGUCCAAGGAAAGGUCCUUAAAGGGACAGGUUGAGAAAAUACUAUUGCAUACAUAAAGUCAAAGUGUAUCUGAACAUAUUGCCUAUACGGAACAAUUAGUUACCAAGUUUCAGGUGAGUAGGCAGAGAAAAUUAAAGAGAAAAUUACAAGAGACAUACUGUAACAAUGAACUAAAAUUAGAUUAAAAUAUACUACUGUACAAAAAA
rnacentral:lncRNA from 1 species